UGAAAGACCUCCACAUCCCUAGAGCA
rnacentral:piRNA from 1 species